rnacentral:rRNA from 1 species
UACGGAGGGGGCUAGCGUUGUUCGGAAUUACUGGGCGUAAAGCGCGCGUAGGCGGAUACUUAAGUUAGGGGUGAAAUCCCGAGGCUCAACCUCGGAACUGCCUCUAAUACUGGGUAUCUCGAGUUCGAGAGAGGUGAGUGGAAUUCCGAGUGUAGAGGUGAAAUUCGUAGAUAUUCGGAGGAACACCAACGGCGAAAGCACUCUGCUGGGCCGACACUGACACUGAGAGACGAAAGCUAGGGGAGCGAAUGGG